rnacentral:lncRNA from 1 species
GCUUAUGAUCUCUCUUGCUUUAGUAAUUGUCUAAAUUCCUUCUUUCCCUUAAUUUCUGGUUUAUAUUACUCUUUUUGCCAUUCUGCAAUUCCCUGAUAUGCCAAUAUAUCUCAUCUUGCAAAUGCAAUCUAUCUUCCUGCCAAUUGCAUUUCAAAUGUCAUGAUUGUUCAUAUUCCUUUAAAUUUGGCUGCUAUAUGCAGGUCUUUACUGUUUGUGAAAGUAUAUUCGCCUUUGAUCAUCAACUUGUACUUUACCUCAUACAUACAUGCAUAAACAUUAUAUCCAUGAUAGAGUUAAAUUGCUGGCUAUAGCAGUUGCUCCUAAUGGAAAAUUAAUUUUUUACCCUUGAAGAAUUGCGUGGAUCAGCUUUAUGUCGAUUGGGGUGUUUUGAUCAUUUAAUCCAUGCGACAGUUGGAAAUUCCUUAUUUCUUUUCUAAUAAUUACUCCACUUUUGGUGUCAUGAUUGCAAGGGUAAAAGGGACCAAAAUACAAGUGCAAAGAAAGCUGCCC